UACAUGAGUCAUUCUCGCUGAAAUGACAUGAUUUAGCUUUUAGUUUUUCUGGCCAAACAUGUGUUUUAGCCUUUUGCCUUUGCUUAUCAACAGUUGUUUUGCUUGUUUUUGAGCUACUGCCACUUUGAGCUGAUGUAGGCAUGUAGUUAUUUAUUGCAACUGAGCUUCUAUAUUGUAUUGUUGGACCAAUUGAUUGCCACCUCUUAGAUGUGCAUUGCUGUUCUUAUCUCUGUACUUUCUAGUUGUGCUAAUUUUAGGACAUGUUCGGUGAAUUUAGAUGUUGGGAAGUGGAUCCUGAAUGCACUUUGUGUUUGCUAUAUUCAGAUUUGUACACACAGUUUUUACUGUAAAAAAAUCUGUAGUUACGUAUGGUUUGAAUCACUACACCUGAAUCUGCAGAUUUGCACAUACAAAUCUUCAGAGAUUGGGGCAUAUCAAAUCUUGAUAUAUCCACUGUAUCUUCUUGCUGAAUCGAGUGCUCUCUUAUAUAGGUCUAUGAAUUUCCUGAACUCGUGCAUGUAUAUAUUUGGGUGCUAGUCAAUUAGAGAAUGUCUGUGAUACCAUGUUUGUACUACGUGCUAGUGUUGCUGUACUGAUGCAAAUACUACUUCUGUACUUAUGGAGAAAUCUGUGAUCUGCCAGUUCGCGGCGUCCAUCGCUUCUGUCCAAGCGCUCUUCAUCUUGUGUGUCAUCUGCAAGGCAAUCAAACCGCCCAUGGCGUGGACGGCGACGACGACAGGAGGACGCCAGUUCUAGCCGGGAACAUGGCCUUGUCCUGCUCGAGGAGGAGGGACGCACCUAGGCACCGGCCCUGUCCCGCAACAAGGGGUCUGCUCCUCUGCUUCCAAGGCAACCAAGCUGCCCUGCCUGAGCUCGACGAUUCAAGCCCGGCCACGACCACGCACCGCUCCCAGCAGGGUGACAGGAAGCCAUGUUGCCAUUUUGUUUGUUCCCAGCCCCGACUGGUCGUCGGCGAGUCCGUCAUGUUGUCAUUUUCUUGUAAAGUAGUACUGUAUCACACUUGUAGAGCUCGUUACACUUGUAGAGCUUGUAAAGUACUGUAUUACACAUGGUCAUAUGUAUUGGCAUGGAUAGAGCUUGUUACUGUUGUUGCCAAUGUAUUAUGUGAUCUGGUUGCUCUUAUUUGAA